UACAGAGGGUGCGAGCGUUAAUCGGAAUUACUGGGCGUAAAGCGUGCGUAGGUGGUUUUAUAAGUUAGGUGUGAAAUUCCUGGGCUUAACCUGGGGACUGCGCCUAAUACUGUUCAGCUAGAGUAUUGUAGAGGAAAGCGGAAUUUCCGGUGUAGCGGUGAAAUGCGUAGAUAUCGGAAGGAACAUCAGUGGCGAAGGCGGCUUUCUGGACAAAUACUGACACUGAGGCACGAAAGCAUGGGGAGCAAACAGG
rnacentral:rRNA from 1 species